rnacentral:lncRNA from 1 species
UCCCCACCGGGCUGGUCGACAUCCCUAGUCCGGGACGUCAUUAGUCGAAGCCGCCGCCCGAGCCCGCUGGACCAGAGUUCACUGUUCCUCUAGUCCUGAGCAAUUGAGCAGGGUCGCCUCCCAGUCCUACGGAGAUGACCGAGUG